rnacentral:rRNA from 1 species
UGCCAGCCGCCGCGGUAAUACGGAGGGUGCAAGCGUUGUUCGGAAUUAUUGGGCGUAAAGCGCGUGUAGGUGGUUCGUUAAGUCUGAUGUGAAAGCCCGGGGCUCAACCCCGGAAGUGCAUUGGAAACUGGCGAACUUGAGUACGGGAGAGGAAAGUGGAAUUCCCAGUGUAGCGGUGAAAUGCGUAGAUAUUGGGAGGAACACCAGUGGCGAAGGCGGCCACCUGGACCGGUUCCGACGCUGAGGCGCGAAAGUGUGGGGAGCAAACAGGAUUAGAUA